UCCACGUUGCCCAGAGACUUCCUAAGUGUGGUGAACCCCUGAACCUCUCUUACCAGAGCUGUGAUUACAUCCACUUUGAUCUUGGAUCUGCCUGCUUCCUCAAGAUCAUCAAAGAAAAAUGAAGACUGUGUCUACCCAACUCCAGAGCACCAUUAUCAACAACUCUUGCCAGCAUCAGACAUUCUAGAAGCCUAGUAAAAUGGGUGAAGGUGUUUUAUUUGGGACACAACCCCAGGAAACAUGAGUGAGAGAACAAAGAAAAUGAGACCCGGUCUCAUUUAUAGAAUGCGUUCCUGAAUUUUCCUCCAAGGCCAUCGGUUCACCAUCUCCUGUAACCAUUGAUUGACAGUUACCAGCUGAUAUGAUGGAAAGAACAGAGCACCUAAGAUGCAUGGAUGGAGACCGCUAUUCUAGGCGGUGCCACCGGAAGCCUAGUGAAGCUGCUAUCAACCUGGGUGCAGAGCCUCUGUCAACCACAGUGACGUGUUGCAGAAUCAAGAAAUAGUGUUUAACCAUUGAAAAAAAAAAGAA